UCCCCAUAAAGAUACUCUCCUCAUAUUUCCCUCUCAGUUUUAAUUUUUCAUUUUCAUCUUCCCACCAAAAUCUCACAGCCUCCUAAAAUGCCCUAAUUAAGAAUAUUUCCUCACGAUCCAUGUCUUCUUCUCUGUGAUUUCUUCUUCUCUAUCUUUGGCUCAUUACAUCUUGAUCACCAUUUUAUAUCGUAACACAUUGUUACAAGGGCUUCAAACCAGGACUAACAUGUCUUUGUUACUAAGGGCCAAGAUUUUAUGUUGUGCCGUUUAAAACUAAAGGUUUAAAGAUGCACACCAACUGUUUGAUGUAAUGCUUCAACAAAGUUUUCAAGAUGCAGAUUACUGGCCUCUUUCGUGUGAUAUGGACUUACCCAGUAUGUUUGGAGGGUUGAGAAGGUCGAUAGGCGGUGAAAAAAGAGUGGGUGCUGGUGGUGAUCGGACAAUCCAGGAUUGAGAAUUUGAUUCAAUAUGACGCAAUUAGUCCGUCCAUUGCAGUGGCUGGCUUACAUCCUAUUAAUUAUGCGUGUCUAUCUUAUCCCGAGUAAAAAGGCUGAAUUAGAGUCAGACGAGUUGUUUGCUGAUAUAUCUUUGAUGCCUAAACCUGAUGUGAGUCUACCUUCUGUAUAUCCUUGUGGUAUGCGUGUAGUUAGCAUUUGAUUAAUGGUUUGCUGGCACACUACUGGGAUCAAUGGAAGUUUUGGCACUACAAGAAAUAUGAGCAUUAGCGAUGACCUUUUUAGCGGCAACACCAAGCAUGUCGUCGCUAAUGGUCACGAUCUGAAGCGCUCACAUAAUAAAGGAACUUCCGCCUUAGGUCACCUUUUGCUUAUUAGACACGCCUCGUAAACACUUUUUAAAACUAACGUAUAGUAGAAUAAGAAAAAUAAUUAUUUUCAUAUGUAUUUUCCUAUAAUAUAUUAGUCUAUAUACUACCGCUUGGUUAAUUCGACCCUAAAGAGUUAAAAUAUUUUUGUUGAACAUCGUCUUUCCUACAUCGUUUUCCUUAAUCAGCAAAUAUGAGCUGCAAGACACAGCAUAGAGCAACAAAAAUCAACAUAGAUACCAGCGAUAGAGUUUAGUUAAUUCAACCCAUUUUCUAAUACUUUAGCAGCCCGUGGCCUGCAUUUUAAAAAAGUUCAGUUGGUCCAUCUGAGUUACCUGAUUCAAAAGGGAUGAUAUGCGGUUCAGGUGGUGUGGAUGAUAUGUGUGUACGUACCGUUGUAAUUUAAUAACCUCAAAUGCAUAUAAUUUCCAUACUAUAUGUUGCACUCGAAAAAACUGACCCGCAGGCAUGAGUUUGGUAUAAAGAUUCUCCGGGUCAUUCUGGACACGGGUCAGAUGGGUCAUGAUAACUAAGAUGGGUAACCACUCAUAACUGAGAAUGGGUCAGAUGGGUCAUUAUAAAGACCCCCAGGUCAUUCUGGACACGGGUACCUGCAACCUGGAUUACGGAAGAGAGACGAAAGGGAUACACACAUGGAAAUCGAAGGAGAGAGACAAGAAGGAGGUGAAUGGCAGUGAGUGGCAGGUGACGGGCGGUGGGCGAAGAUGCUGAAGCAGCUGGUUGUAUCUGGUUAUAGUUUGUUUCUCCUUUUCUUUAUCACACUUUAUUUUAUGUUAAGUUAUUAAAAUAUUAAUCAAUUUACGUUUUGCAAUUUCAAUUACAAGUAUUUUCCCAAUAUUUUAUUAUGACUAUUGACAGAGUAUUAGAUUUAUUUAUAAUUUUUAUUUCAAAUCAAACAAUUAUAAAUAAGCGAUCUCAAACAAUAAUUUAAUCAUGAUUAUUUAGAGUGACCUGUUUUUGACCUGAACCCAUUCUGACACGACCCAUUUUGACCCGAACUCAUACUGACCCGCACCCAAUACCCAUAUCCUGACCCGAACCCGUUCUGACCUGGACCAAAAUGACCCUUGCUACAUAGGUGAUAAAUUAAAUGCGAUAACGUUAGUGGUAAAUAUGAAAUUGAUGAUAGGUGUGCAGCAAUACAAGUUGGGAUAAGAAGUUACCCUUUGCUCGUGCAGAUUGGUGGAGUGUUUUAUGUUGACAUAGCUGGGUUCGAGGCGUGGACAUACUCAAGGUCCGACUCUUGCUUCUAAGGCGUUUCGUCUUCAAUUUCGGUCAAUUACUCCUGGUGUUAUAAAUGGAACGCAGAUUGAGCCAAUCCCAAGCAGAAAUCUGCCUCCUAGGUUUGAACCAAAUACAUCUCGCAGUGUGAGCGGUUUACAUAUGAUUUUUUAGUUUGUUAUUCUCCUUUUCAUAUGCAUGUUCAAGCAUGACGAAUG